rnacentral:rRNA from 1 species
GACGAACGCUGGCGGCGUGCUUAACACAUGCAAGUCGAACGGAAAGGCCCUGCUUUUGUGGGGUGCUCGAGUGGCGAACGGGUGAGUAACACGUGAGUAACCUGCCCUUGACUUUGGGAUAACUUCAGGAAACUGGGGCUAAUACCGGAUAGGAGCUCCUGCUGCAUGGUGGGGGUUGGAAAGUUUCGGCGGCUGGGGAUGGACUCGCGGCUUAUCAGCUUGUUGGUGGGGUAGUGGCUUACUAAGGCUUUGACGGGUAGCCGGCCUGAGAGGGUGGCCGGCCACAUUGGGACUGAGAGACGGCCCAGACUCCUACGGGAGGCAGCGGUGGAGAAUAUUGCACAAUGGGCGGAAGCCUGAUGCAGCAACGCCGCGUGCGGGAUGACGGCCUUCGGGUUGUAAACCGCUUUCGCCUGUGACGAAGCGUGAGUGACGGUAAUGGGUAAAGAAGCACCGGCUAACUACGUG